rnacentral:lncRNA from 1 species
UUUUUUUUUUUUUUUUUUGGCUUUUGAGGGCUGCACCCACGGCAUAUGGAGGUUCCCAGACAAAUUGGAGCUGUAGUCGCCGGCCUACACCACAGCCAUAGCCAAGCCGGAUCCAAGCCAUGUCUUCCACCCACACCAAAGCUCAUGGCAACACAGUAUCCUUAACCUGCUGGGUGAGGCCAGGGAUCAAACUGGCAACCUAAUCAUUCCUAGUUGGAUUCGUUUCCGCUGCGCCAAGAUGGGAACUCUCGAUAUAUUACUCUUAUAAUCUAGUUCAUCUGACCUCAAAUGAGGAAUUCUAUUUCAGAGCACCGCUGGAAUAUAAAGACUAUCAUCUGGGGAUUAGAACUAGGCUGAUUGUCAGUUACGCAGCUUGGUAUUAGCAUCCUUGCCAUUUUCUAGGGAAUAAAAAGGCAACAUGAAAGAGUAUCUUUGCCACUAGUAUCUAGCAUUUAUAGAUUGCCCUUGCAUUUAUGAUAGUGCAAAAAAGAAGUAUAGAUCUUAAGGCAAAAUCCAUAGAAGAACCAAAUGGUCAAGAGAAGCAUGAUAGCCUUGCUGUUAAGGAUAGACCCUGGAGUCAGGUGUACUUCCUGUGCCAUGUGGGUAGUUACUUAACUUCUUUGAGCUUCAGAUUCAUUGCCCUCAUGUAAAAGGAGAGUUGUUAGAGGUUUAAGUAAAUAUGUGUGUGUGUGUGUGUGUGUGUGUGUGUGUNAAGGUAUAUAUAUCAUAUAUGAUAUGUAUCUUGUAUAUACAUCAUAUAUGAACCUUAAAAUAUAUAUUACUUAAAAUUAAAUACACAUAUACUGGAGAUAUAUAUAAUAAACAUUCAUUUAAGUUAUAUGUGGUUAUGUACAUAUAUUUACUUAAACUUAUGUAUAUGAUAAUAAGGCAGUUCUCGGCAGGCACUAAGCAUUGCUUAAAUAUUAACUAUUUUUAAUAUGUUGCCUUAUUUUUAUAUAUGAAGUACUAAUGAGUAAAAAAACUGAUUGAUUUGAUGGUUCUUUCUUUUCUCUGCUUUUUCUUUAAAGGUUCAAAGUUGCAGCAAAAUGUUACUUUUAAGAAGUUGAGUGGGAAUUCCCAUGGUGGCUCAGAGUUAACAAACACCAUUGAGAUCCAUGAGGAUGCAGGUUCAAUCCCUGGUCUCACUCAGUGGGUUAAGCAUCUGGCCUUGCUGUGAGCUAUGUGCAGUUUGCAGAUGUGGCUCCUGUGCCUGUUGCUGUAGCUGUAGCAUACAUAGGCCGGCAGCUGCAGCUCUGAUUGACCCCUAGCCUGGGAACUUCCAUAUGUCAUAGUGUACGGGGCCUUAAAAAGACCCCCCCCCAAAAAAAAAAGAAAAGAAAAAGUUGAGUGAACACACACAGAAUGAGAAACCCUAAAACAAGGUACUGAGUUAAUAGACAGGAUAGUCACUUCCUGAAUACAUAUAAAUGAACUCUUUGUAGAAUUAGCAGAGGGACUCUUAAUGGGCUUUUGUUUUAGAGGUGGUGGAUUGAUAUUCCAAGGCGAGGCCUGAAGAGAGACCUCAGGACAACGACCACUCUUCUAGCCUACUACUAACAUAGUAGCCUUGCAAAUAAGGAUAAUCCCCUACAAAUCAAAGCGCUAGAGGAUGAGCUUCAUCAGGACAGAGAUUUUGUCUGUGUUGGGUCACUGCCAAGUCCAGGCAAGUGCCUGACAAAUAGCAGAUUCACAUGAACUAUUUCUUGAAUGAAAUGAAUGGAUGAGAAAUCUUGACCUUUCCUUUAAAUAGGAUUAACAUUAAAAGCAAACAAACAAAAUAGCAGACUUUCCCACUUCCGGGUGGAUUUCUGACCCUGAGAAUACUGGUAAGCAAGUAAGCAAGGCUGAGAAGCAACGUGUGGACAGAAGAGGCAAUAUGUACAUUUAGGAUGUGUUCCAGAAGCCAUGGAUGUGGUGAAGUCUUCACAGGAAUGUGUGAUGUGAAGUAGUGCCACCCUUAACUCAGAGUCAUGCACAUGUGACAUAUCUGAAUUAUAAAUAUUUUGCUCAGUGUCUGACUAACUUUAGUGUCCAUAUGUAUACUUUUUUCUCCUCAGGUUUUCAGAGUGACAAAGUGACACUUUUACUCUCUGCAAACAUUUAGCUUACCUUUAACAGUUUCAACUCAAGCUCUGACUGGCCAAAACAAUCCAUGUGACAGGAUCUAUUUCACAGGUGGGGUUUAUCAUAAAGCAUUACUUACGAUUUAGCUCACAGCUUCUGAAAGUAGAUUAAAAUCAUGUAACAUUCUCAGAGCUAUGCCUGACUAAUCAAAUCUAAAUAUAUAUUUAUUUUUACUACCAUAGAAAACAGUUUUAAAAAAACAGAAGUCUUUUUCAUAGAAUAGUAAGUUAAUAAUCUGAAUAGAAAUAUAUAAUCAUUUGUAUAUACUGUAAGUUUUCCUAAUUAUCUUUGUAAUGAAAACUGAGAAAGUAUGAGUCAUCCUUGGCUGAGCCUGCUCAAUUCUCCUUGUCUUUUCUAAAUAUAAUAAAAACAGCAAACAAUCUUAAAGUACAUUAUUAAUUGAUUAGACAUGAUUUUUUAAAAUGAUUUACAUCAUCUCAUUUAACUUUUGAGCUUCCAGACAUUAAUAAAGAAUCACCAAAAAGCUCUUAAUGAUUUAUAAUGCAUAUUACCCCACCGGGCUUGGCCCAAGAACUCAGUAUGGGCCCAGAAGAAAACAGAAAAAUAUUUACAGGUGAGCCAUGGCAGAAAUAGGCUUAAAACACAUAUCUGUAUUCUCAGAAAACAAUUAGGGCUGAUGCAAUUAGGAUGAGUAUUACAGUUCAUUUUAUUCCAUGGAACUAUUUCCACUCUUGAAGCUCCAUGUAGCAGAGACAGUAUGGUUAGAACACUAUUGAAGGUGAUAGAAUUUUGCUUUGCCCUUGUACAUGUAAGGUAAACACUUUACAUUAUUACACAGAAACAAAAAUUUACAGCCAAAGAUAACAGAGAAUCUGAUUAAAGGUAACACAUUUGGCAUUUAAGGCUAACCCACAUUGGAAAGCAAUCAUUUCCAGGAUGGAGUUGAAAUAUCUUAACACAGUGUUACCUGUCUGAGUUGCUAGAAAAGAUUUCUCAUCUAAAAAUUGAUUCACAGGAUGUGUUUUCAAAUUUGUCAGUUGUUUUUUUUUUUUCCUUGUGUGCUAGACGGAGGCACUUUAAGAGCUAUUAACUGUAGUUUCAGGAAUAUGUGACACUGAGUUUAAUCAUUCAUUGGUAAAUAUGGCAAGGAAUUAAAAUGACCUUGGGUUAAAAUUAAGUAAACUAAUCAUUAAAUCAGAACAUUUUGCCAAAUCUUGUAAAAAUUACUGGUCUCUGACAUGAAUGACUGGUCUCUUAAAAAAAAAAAAAUAGUAGCUAUCGCUCACCUACACCCAAAUAAAUGAGUACCACAGCUUUCUGAUGUUAAGGUAUGAUGGUUUUGCUAUUUGGGCUAGUGAGGGUUUUAAAAUACUGACGAAAUAAGUACUCUG